CUCUAUAUUCGCCCUGCUUGAGUGUUGCAGUCUCGGUCAAGGACAUCAAAAGUGUUGACUCCAUUAUGAUUUACAUUUCAACACUCUUACAACCGGGGAUUUCACGAAAAUCAACAAGCUCAGCGAAGGAGGAUUCAGUGAGGUUUACAAGAGGGUACUCUGCCGAAUAGGGAAGAAAUAGCAGUGAAAAGACUGCCAAAGAGGUGUCAACACAAGGUGUGGAGGAGCAAAAGUACCUUGUCAG